rnacentral:rRNA from 1 species
UACGUGCCAGCAGCCGCGGUAAUACGGAAGGUCCAGGCGUUAUCCGGAUUUAUUGGGUUUAAAGGGAGCGUAGGCUGGAGAUUAAGUGUGUUGUGAAAUGUAGACGCUCAACGUYUGAAUUGCAGCGCAUACUGGUUUCCUUGAGUACGCACAACGUUGGCGGAAUUCGUCGUGUAGCGGUGAAAUGCUUAGAUAUGACGAAGAACUCCGAUUGCGAAGGCAGCUGACGGGAGCGCAACUGACGCUUAAGCUCGAAGGUGCGGGUAUCAAACAGGAUUAGAUACCCUGGUAGUCCGCACAGUAAACGAUGGAUGCCCGCUGUUGGUACCUGGUAUCAGCGGCUAAGCGAAAGCAUUAAGCAUCCCACCUGGGGAGUACGCCGGCAACGGUGAAACUCAAAGGAAUUGACGGGGGCCCGCACAAGCGGAGGAACAUGUGGUUUAAUUCGAUGAUACGCGAGGAACCUUACCCGGGCUUGAAUUGCAGAGGAAUUAUUUAGAGAUA